UCUUCCAAAAAAGAAAGCAUCAAGCCCAAGUGUUUUCACUGGCGAAUUCUAAGAACUAAUACCACUUCUCUACAAUCUCUUCCAGAAAAUAGAAGCGGAGGGAAUAUUUCCUUAGUUCUGUGAAACCAGCAUUAUUCUAAUACAGAAACAAAAGAUACUACAAGAGGGGAAAACUACAGACCAAUAUAUCUACCAUGUACAAAAUGUAUCUUUUUUCUAUCUUUUGUAUUGGAGAUAUAAAAAUUCUGGACAACAUAUUAGCACACGAAAUCUGCUGUGGUUUGAAUGUUACUGUCCAAAAUUCAUGUUGAAAUGUCCAAUGCAAGAGUAUUAAGAGGUGGGGGUUUUGCAGCCUUCAGCGUUGUUCCGUUCUGCCCCUUCAGCCAUGUAAGGACACAGUGUUCUUCCCCUCUGAAGGUUGAGGCAAUGAAACACCAUCUCGGAAGCGGAAAGUAGCCCUCACCAGAAAACUGAACCUGCUGGUGCCUUGAUCUUGGACUACCUAGCUCCAGAGCUGUGAACACAUUUCUGUUCUUUUAUAUUACCCAGUCUCAAGUAUUUUGUUAUAGCAGCACAUAUGAACUUAAACAGAAUUCAACAAUGUAUAAAAAGAAUUACAUGCUAUGACAAAGUGAGAUUUAUCCCAGGUAUGCAAGGCUGGUUUGACAGGAAAAUCAGUCACUAUAGUCCAUUACAUCAAUAGACUAACUAAGAAAAAUCAUAUCAAUGCAGAAAAAGUAUUUCACUCAAUAGAUGCAGAAAAAGUAUUUCACAAAAUCAAUCAUCCAUUCACCAUAAAAACUCACAGCAAACUAGGAAUAGAGGGGAAUAUCCUCAACUGGAUAAAGAAUAUUUGCAAAAAACCUAUAACCAACAUCAUAAUUAAUGGUGAGAAACUAUAUGCUUUCCCCCUCGGAUCAGAAACAAGAAUGUCUCCUCUCACUACUUCUAGUCAACAUUGCAGGAGGUUCUAGCUAAUACAAUAUGACAAGAAAAGAAAAGGCAUCCAGAUUGGGAAGGACGAAAUAAAACUGUCUUUGUUCACAGAUGACAUAAUUAUUUAUAUAAAGAAAUCCCAAAGAACCAACAAAAAGUGAUCAUAAGAAGGUUGCAGAGACAGCAUCUCACAGUGUUGCCCAGACUGGAGAGCAGUGCACUGCAACCUCUAACUCCUGGGCUCAAGUGAUCCUUCUGCCUCAGCCUCCGGAGUAGCUGGGACUACAGGUGCAUGCCACCAUGCUUGGCAAUAAUCUAUAUAUCUGAUAAUUAUAUAAUUAUAUAGCCACCUCAUCUCUAUUUUUGUUACUAUUUGCAUAAAGUAUCUUUUCCAUUA